rnacentral:tRNA from 1 species
AUAUUUUUAGUAUAAUAAGUAUAUCAGUUUUAGAGUCUGUUGGUUGAGGAGUAUA